UACGUAGGGGUCGAGCGUUGUCCGGAGUUACUGGGCGUAAAGCGUGCGCAGGCGGCUCAUUGCGCCCGGCGUGAAAGCCCCCGGCUCAACCGGGGAGGGUCGUCGGGGACGGGUGAGCUUGAGGGUAUCAGGGGUUGGUGGAAUUCCCGGUGUAGUGGUGAAAUGCGUAGAUAUCUGGAGGAACACCGGUGGCGAAGGCGGCAUCCUGGACCGAUAUUGACGCUGAUGCGCGAAAGCCAGGGGAGCAAACGGG
rnacentral:rRNA from 1 species